AGUUGAGCGAGAUAAGUUGUAGCAAUACGGGCUUUGGAAGCGGCGCACGGGUGCGUAACACGUAUGCAACCUACCUUUUACUAAGGAAUAGCCUCUCGAAAGAGAGAUUAAUACCUUAUAACAUGUUUUGAAGGCAUCUUCAGAACCUUAAAGCUCCGGCGGUAAAAGAUGGGCAUGCGGUUGAUUAGCUAGUUGGUGAGGUAAUGGCUCACCAAGGCUUCGAUCAAUAGGGGGUCUGAGAGGAUGUCCCCCCACACUGGUACUGAGACACGGACCAGACUCCUACGGGAGGCAGCAGUAGGGAAUAUUGGACAAUGGGCGCAAGCCUGAUCCAGCCAUGCCGCGUGCAGGAUGAAGGCCCUAUGGGUCGUAAACUGCUUUUGUACGGGAAGAAACCUCACUACGUGUAGUGAGUUGACGGUACCGUGAGAAUAAGGAUCGGCUAACUUCGUGCCAGCAGCCGCGGUAAUACGAAGGAUCCAAGCGUUGUCCGGAUUUACUGGGUUUAAAGGGUGCGUAGGCGGACUUUUAAGUCAGUGGUGAAAGCUCGCAGCUUAACUGUGAAAUUGCCAUUGAAACUGAAAGUCUCGAGUGUGGUUGAGGUAACUGGAAUAUAUCAUGUAGCGGUGAAAUGCUUAGAUAUGAUAUAGAACACCAAUUGCGAAGGCAGGUUACUGAGCCACAACUGACGCUGAGGCACGAAAGCGUGGGGAUCAAACAGGAUUAGAUACCCUGGUAGUCCACGCCGUAAACGUUGAAUACUCGAUCUUAGCGAUACACAGUUAGGAU
rnacentral:rRNA from 1 species